rnacentral:rRNA from 1 species
GAUGAACGCUGGCGGCGUGCCUAAUACAUGCAAGUCGAGCGAACAGAUAAGGAGCUUGCUCCUUUGACGUUAGCGGCGGACGGGUGAGUAACACGUGGGUAACCUACCUAUAAGACUGGGAUAACUCCGGGAAACCGGGGCUAAUGCAGGAUAAUAUGUUGAACCGCAUGGUUCAACAGUGAAAGACGGCUUUGCUGUCACUUAUAGAUGGAUCCGCGCCGCAUUAGCUAGUUGGUGAGGUAACGGCUUACCAAGGCAACGAUACGUAGCCGACCUGAGAGGGUGAUCGGCCACACUGGAACUGAGACACGGUCCAGACUCCUACGGGAGGCAGCAGUAGGGAAUCUUCCGCAAUGGGCGAAAGCCUGACGGAGCAACGCCGCGUGAGUGAUGAAGGUCUUCGGAUCGUAAAACUCUGUUAUUAGGGAAGAACAAAUGCGUAAGUAACUGUGCGCGUCUUGACGGUACCUAAUCAGAAAGCCACGGCUAACUACGUG